GGCGGCGUGGCCAAGUGGUAAGGCAGAGGUCUGCAAAACCUCCAUUCACCGGUUCAAAUCCGGUCGCCGCCUCCA
rnacentral:tRNA from 1 species